rnacentral:rRNA from 1 species
CGGGGUGAGUAACACGUGGGUAACCUGCCCGGAAGUGGGGAAUACCCCAGGGAAACUUGGGAUAAUACCGCAUAACAUCGUCGGGACGACAGUCCUGAUGAUCAAAGAGGGGGAUCGCAAGACCUCUCGCUUCUGGAGGGGCCCGCGCCCGAUUAGCUUGUUGGUGAGGUAACGGCUCACCAAGGCUCCGAUCGGUAGCCGACCUGAGAGGGUGAUCGGCCACACCGGAACUGAGACACGGUCCGG